UACGUAGGGUGCAAGCGUUAAUCGGAAUUACUGGGCGUAAAGCGUGCGCAGGCGGUUGUGCAAGACAGGCGUGAAAUCCCCGGGCUUAACCUGGGAACUGCACUUGUGACUGCACGGCUAGAGUGUGUCAGAGGGGGGUAGAAUUCCACGUGUAGCAGUGAAAUGCGUAGAUAUGUGGAGGAAUACCGAUGGCGAAGGCAGCCCCCUGGGAUAACACUGACGCUCAUGCACGAAAGCGUGGGGAGCAAACAGG
rnacentral:rRNA from 1 species